AUACACAAAAUCAUCUACUCUCACAAAGAGAACAAUCAUCUCUUCUCUCUCAAAUCAUACUCAAAGAGAGAUCAUCACUAUUUUUUCUCAACAAGCUUUAUCUAUCACAUUUUUGCCUCACAAAAGUUGAAGAAGAUUGAAGAUUAAAGAGAACUCAUCUCCCAAAGUUGAAGAAGAUUAAAACAUUUGAUUUGAUAAUGAAAACUAAUAGAGAAGAUGAAGAAAGUUUCAGAUUUACUUACUUGCAACGAUAGAGAACAAGAAAACCAAUAUGAAGGGAGACAAUGACUGGAAAAA